AACGAACGCUGGCGGCAUGCCUAACACAUGCAAGUCGAACGAGACCUUCGGGUCUAGUGGCGCACGGGUGCGUAACGCGUGGGAACCUGCCCUUAGGUUCGGAAUAACUCCCCGAAAGGGGUGCUAAUACCGGAUAAUGUCUUCGGACCAAAGAUUUAUCGCCUUUGGAUGGGCCCGCGUUGGAUUAGCUAGUUGGUAGGGUAAAAGCCUACCAAGGCGACGAUCCAUAGCUGGUCUGAGAGGAUGAUCAGCCACACUGGGCUGAGACACGGCCCAGACUCCUACGGGAGGCAGCAGUGGGGAAUAUUGGACAAUGGGCGAAAGCCUGAUCCAGCAAUGCCGCGUGAGUGAUGAAGGCCUUAGGGUUGUAAAGCUCUUUUACCCGGGAUGAUAAUGACAGUACCGGGAGAAUAAGCUCCGGCUAACUCCGUG
rnacentral:rRNA from 1 species